UUAACUCAAAUUUGUAUGGAGUAGGAACGUUAGCCUGCGUUUGUCGCUAGGGGUGCUUUAAAGGCAUACAAAUUUGAGUUA
rnacentral:pre_miRNA from 1 species